UCUGGAAAACUGUGUCUUCACACUUGUUUUCCCUGUCAUCUCUUUCAGUGUGCCAGGCAGCUCCCACCAUGUACCCUGCCUAUGAGCAACUGAAUCCUGGCUGGAGCCACAUUAGGAAAAAUCAGUUGUGGGGAUGGGGUGAGUGUCUGCUUCUCCCCCCAGAUUUAUGACUCUGGUGGAAGUUCCUGUCACCCCUCACUCAGCACCUGUGUUUCCAGCCACUUCUCUAUUGUUGUUAUUUCCAAGUGAUGACUGACUGAAUCUCUGCUAAUGCAGCAAGCGGGCUGGGGCUGCUCCAGGUGCAUGCUCCAACUCUCCAAAAUGUCCACUGGCCACAGAAGACCUGCUGCCUGCAGACCUAGACAUGUCUGGUUAGGAGGGACCUGCCAAAAAGUAUGUUGUUCUGUGUUGUUGGAGUGUCUAUGUUCUAUCUUUUUCCAAGGGUUCCUGCCAAUUAGCAAGACAGCACAGAUGCAGAGCUACUGCACAGGUCAUGGAAGAGGAAGUUGUUUUUUAGCUACAGCUAAAGGUUUCCCUCUGGCUGGGGUGGGACAUGAGGGCUGCUCUGUCUUUCUUGAGGCAACCUGGAGGCUACCAUCCCAUGAUAACACCAGUUCUCCUCCUGGAGGCCUCAGGCUGGAGAACUGAGGGCACAGUGGGUACAUUCCUUACAUGAAAUGAAAGACAAUCCCUGUCUGAAGAAUUUGGACUGUGUAAAGAAUAAAAAAAUAUGCAAGAAAGAAGAGUUAAGAGAG
rnacentral:lncRNA from 1 species